rnacentral:rRNA from 1 species
CCAGCUUGACUGCGAGCGUGACGGCGCGAGCAGGUGCGAAAGCAGGUCAUAGUGAUCCGGUGGUUCUGAAUGGAAGGGCCAUCGCUCAACGGAUAAAAGGUACUCCGGGGAUAACAGGCUGAUACCGCCCAAGAGUUCAUAUCGACGGCGGUGUUUGGCACCUCGAUGUCGGCUCAUCACAUCCUGGAGCUGAAGUAGGUCCCAAGGGUAUGGCUGUUCGCCAUUUAAAGUGGUACGCGAGCUGGGUUUAGAACGUCGUGAGACAGUUCGGUCCCUAUCUGCCGUGGGCCUGGAGAACUGAGGGGGGCUGCUCCUAGUACGAGAGGACCGGAGUGGACGCAUCACUGGUGUUCGGGUUGUCAUGCCAAUGGCACUGCCCGGUAGCUAAAUGCGGAAGAGAUAAGUGCUGAAAGCAUCUAAGCACGAAACUUGCCCCGAGAUGAGUUCUCCCUGACUCCUUGAGAGUCCUGAAGGAACGUUGAAGACGACGACGUUGAUAGGCCGGGUGUGUAAGCGCAGCGAUGCGUUGAGCUAACCGGUACUAAUGAACCGUGAGGCUUAACCUUACAACGCCGAAG